CGGCCGAUGGUGCGGCCUGUGCAUGUGCCGUUGUCGGCGGCUCAGCAGCGGAUGUGGUUCAUCAACCAGUUCGACACCCGUUCGGCGCUC
rnacentral:tRNA from 1 species